rnacentral:rRNA from 1 species
GAUGAACGCUGGCGGCGCGCCUAACACAUGCAAGUCGAACGAUUAAAGCACCUUCGGGUGUGUAUAAAGUGGCGAACGGCUGAGUAACACGUGGGCAACCUGCCCCUUUCAUUGGGAUAGCCACGGGAAACCGUGGAUAAUACCGAAUACUUCGAGACUUCCGCAUGGAAGACUCGAGAAAGCUCCGGCGGAGAGGGAUGGGCCCGCGGCCUGUUAGCUUGUUGGUGGGGUAACGGCCUACCAAGGCAAUGAUGGGUAGCUGGGUUGAGAGACCGACCAGCCAGAUUGGGACUGAGACACGGCCCAGACUCCUACGGGAGGCAGCAGUGGGGAAUCUUGCACAAUGGGCGAAAGCCUGAUGCAGCGACGCCGCGUGCGGGAUGAAGGCCUUCGGGCUGUAAACCGCUUUCAGCAGGGACGAGGCGAAAGUGACGGUACCUGCAGAAGAAGCCCCGGCUAACUACGUG